rnacentral:lncRNA from 1 species
AACAUGAGGAAGAGCCGAAGAGGUGAACACAGACAGGUCAGCAACGUGAGGAACGUGGAGAAUGGUGAGAGGCGAGUUGGCGGCUGAUGAUGAAGUGUAAUAGAGGAAGAAAGGGAAGGCGGCGGCUCUGGCGCCUGGUUGUCGCCGGUGAUGGCGAGCUGCCAGGGGGGUAGAGGAACUGAGGCUCUGACUGUGCGGCAGGCACGCAGAGGUGCUGAUGUUGCUGGAUUCUUCAUUUGUUUCGGACUUUCUUUGGAGUUUUCUUGUUGCGGGUUGGGCCUGGCAGACCGACCCGAUCCGAAAGAAACCCGGGUGCAACACAACGGCAGGCUACCUAAAACACUCCCUAUCAUCGGUUAAGCCAUCGGACCGCAGAGGAUCUCUCCUUCCAGCGAGGUUCCUGUUUGGUUCCGACUAGGUUCCGCAAGCGCUCCGAGUGCUACGUCGUGUGUGCCGCCGGCGAGUUUGUUUGAGAUGAUUCUUGGUACUGUGAUACCACCGGCGCAACGCAGCGUUGUUGCGCAAUCUUCUCUCCCGGGAGCUUCCUCACGGCCGAAUCGACUCUCAGUUUGGACUUUGGAGUUUGGACUAGCUAUUUGUGGAUUGGAUGUGCGUUAAAUCAAAGUUUCGGAAACGGAACCGGUUAAUUACUAAUUUAUUAGUUGGAAAAACUACCAAAAGUACCAUGAAGUUUACAAACGUUGACAAAAGAACUCAUAAACUAAGAAAAUUAACGCU